AUUUUUUCUGGAGAUUUGUCACAGAUGGACUUUCUAUAGGACCUAUUUUGCUGACAGGAUUUAUCACCACUUUAGCUACUUCAGCGGCUCGGCCGGUUACUCGAGAUUCCCGAUUAUUCCAUUUCCUGAUGUUAGCAAUGUAUAGUGGUCAAAUAUGAUCAUUUUCUUCUCGAGACCUUUUACUUUUUUUCAUCAUGUGGGAGUUAGAAUUAAUUCCCAUUUAUCUACUUCUAUCUGUGUGUGUGUGUGGGGGGGGGGGGGGGGGGAAACGUUUAUAUUCAGCUGCAAAGUUUAUUUUGUACACUGCAGGAAGUUUCGUUUUUUUAUUAAUGGGAGUUCUGAGUAUCGGUUUAUAUGGUUCCAAUGAACCAACAUUCAAUUUU